GGGUUUAUAGUUCAAUGGUAAAAACUUUUCUCUAUAAAUUAGUAGUCUUUGGUUCAAAUCCUAGUAAUACCU
rnacentral:tRNA from 1 species